UGCUCUCUCAGUGUUAAUUGAGUUGAGUACUGAGAACCCCUAUAUGGGGUUUUUUGUUAUCUACACUGUUACUGUUUAUAAAUGUAAAUGGGCCUUGAGCCCGUUUUUU
rfam:Marinomonas ushuaiensis DSM 15871 contig8, whole genome shotgun sequence.